ensembl:rRNA 5S_rRNA 5S ribosomal RNA
GUCUAUAGCCAUACCACCAUGAAUGUGCCUGAUCUCAUCUGAUCUCAGAAGUUAAGCAGGGUCGGGCCUCGUUAGUACUUGGAUAGGAGAAGUAAAUGAAAGCACAAGGGUAAUGAUGGCUCUAUUAGCU